rnacentral:rRNA from 1 species
AUGGCUGUCGUCAGCUCGUGUCGUGAGAUGUUGGGUUAAGUCCCGCAACGAGCGCAACCCUUGUCUUUAAUUGCCAGCAUUCAGUUGGGCACUUUAAAGAGACUGCCGGUGUUAAGCCGGAGGAAGGUGGGGAUGACGUCAAGUCCUCAUGGCCUUUAUGCCCAGGGCUACACACGUGCUACAAUGGGUGGUACAAAGAGAUGCCAACUCGCGAGAGCGCGCCAAUCUCAGAAAGCCAUCCUCAGUUCGGAUUGGAGUCUGCAACUCGACUCCAUGAAGUUGGAAUCGCUAGUAAUCGCGGAUCAGCACGCCGCGGUGAAUACGUUCCCGGGCCUU